AGAUAUGCGAUUGUUACAUCUGUGACAUCUGCCAUCCAGUUUCCACCAGGGUUCAUUUGGAUGAUCCUGCUGGCUAGCUUGAUUGUUCACGUCUCCCAUGGAUCUAUGUGUAUCCAUCCUUCCUGAAGUUGAGUCCUAGGUAAAAGAUCUUGACAGUUAGAAGAGGGUUAUUCUUUGGUCCAGAGUAAAUGAGUAGCUGUGCUCUUCUGUCAGAGCCUCCAAAUCAGCAGAACCUGAUUACAAAUGUCAAGCUCUACCUCCUAGCAGUGGACUACAUCCAGCUAUCUCCCUCCUA
rfam:Mus musculus chromosome 16, GRC primary reference assembly.